CCUACGGGAGGCAGCAGUAGGGAAUUUUCGGCAAUGGGGGGAACCCUGACCGAGCAACGCCGCGUGAACGAAGAAGUUAUUCGUAAUGUAAAGUUCUUUUACCAGGGAAGCAAGAGAAAUUUGACGGUACCUGAAGAAAAAGCAUCGGCUAACUCCGUGCCAGCAGCCGCGGUAAUACGGAGGAUGCGAGCGUUAUCCGGAUUUAUUGGGUUUAAAGGUUGCGUAGGCGGAAUGUCAAGUCCGCGGUAAAAUCGCGGGGCUCAACCUCGCUCAGCCGUUGAAACUGGCGUUCUUGAGUGGGCGAGAAGUAUGCGGAAUGCGUGGUGUAGCGGUGAAAUGCAUAGAUAUCACGCAGAACUCUGAUUGCGAAGGCAGCAUACCGGCGCCCAACUGACGCUGAAGCACGAAAGCGUGGGUAUCGAACAGGAUUAGAUACCCCAGUAGUC
rnacentral:rRNA from 1 species